rnacentral:rRNA from 1 species
UGGCUCAGAUUGAACGCUGGCGGCAGGCCUAACACAUGCAAGUCGAGCGGUAGCACAGAGAGCUUGCUCUCGGGUGACGAGCGGCGGACGGGUGAGUAAUGUCUGGGAAACUGCCUGAUGGAGGGGGAUAACUACUGGAAACGGUAGCUAAUACCGCAUAACGUCGCAAGACCAAAGUGGGGGACCUUCGGGCCUCAUGCCAUCAGAUGUGCCCAGAUGGGAUUAGCUAGUAGGUGGGGUAACGGCUCACCUAGGCGACGAUCCCUAGCUGGUCUGAGAGGAUGACCAGCCACACUGGAACUGAGACACGGUCCAGACUCCUACGGGAGGCAGCAGUGGGGAAUAUUGCACAAUGGGCGCAAGCCUGAUGCAGCCAUGCCGCGUGUGUGAAGAAGGCCUUCGGGUUGUAAAGCACUUUCAGCGGGGAGGAAGGCGAUAAGGUUAAUAACCUUGUCGAUUGACGUUACCCGCAGAAGAAGCACCGGCUAACUCCGUGCCAGCAGCCGCGGUAAUACGGAGGGUGCAAGCGUUAAUCGGAAUUACUGGGCGUAAAGCGCACGCAGGCGGUCUGUCAAGUCGGAUGUGAAAUCCCCGGGCUCAACCUGGGAACUGCAUUCGAAACUGGCAGGCUAGAGUCUUGUAGAGGGGGGUAGAAUUCCAGGUGUAGCGGUGAAAUGCGUAGAGAUCUGGAGGAAUACCGGUGGCGAAGGCGGCCCCCUGGACAAAGACUGACGCUCAGGUGCGAAAGCGUGGGGAGCAAACAGGAUUAGAUACCCUGGUAGUCCACGCCGUAAACGAUGUCGAUUUGGAGGUUGUGCCCUUGAGGCGUGGCUUCCGGAGCUAACGCGUUAAAUCGACCGCCUGGGGAGUACGGCCGCAAGGUUAAAACUCAAAUGAAUUGACGGGGGCCCGCACAAGCGGUGGAGCAUGUGGUUUAAUUCGAUGCAACGCGAAGAACCUUACCUGGUCUUGACAUCCACAGAACUUAGCAGAGAUGCUUUGGUGCCUUCGGGAACUGUGAGACAGGUGCUGCAUGGCUGUCGUCAGCUCGUGUUGUGAAAUGUUGGGUUAAGUCCCGCAACGAGCGCAACCCUUAUCCUUUGUUGCCAGCGGUUAGGCCGGGAACUCAAAGGAGACUGCCAGUGAUAAACUGGAGGAAGGUGGGGAUGACGUCAAGUCAUCAUGGCCCUUACGACCAGGGCUACACACGUGCUACAAUGGCAUAUACAAAGAGAAGCGACCUCGCGAGAGCAAGCGGACCUCAUAAAGUAUGUCGUAGUCCGGAUUGGAGUCUGCAACUCGACUCCAUGAAGUCGGAAUCGCUAGUAAUCGUAGAUCAGAAUGCUACGGUGAAUACGUUCCCGGGCCUUGUACACACCGCCCGUCACACCAUGGGAGUGGGUUGCAAAAGAAGUAGGUAGCUUAACCUUCGGGAGGGCGCUUACCACUUUGUGAUUCAUGACUGGGGUGAA